rnacentral:lncRNA from 1 species
GAACAAUGAGAAAACUCUCAUCAAUAUAUUGAAGCAAUCAUUGACCUUCCCAAGAGUGGGAAUCAGUAGUAGCAAAGAAUAUGAAUAAUUGGUGAAAGUCCAGGAUUUAAUAAACAGGCUUCUGGUGAAGAACCCCAAGAAAAGAAUUGGAAUCCAAAAGGGCUCUGUUGAGAUAAAGAGGCAUGAAUUCUUCAAGGGAGUGAAUUGGGCUUUGAUCAGGACCGUUAAACCUCCUGAGGUCCCUUAUAAUCAUCGAAAAGUUAGGUGCAAACCAAACAUACAAAAGUUAAGCAAGAAAGAAAGGAAUGAAGCGUAUGAAAUCCCAAGUCACUUCGACUACUUUUAAUUGUAACUACUAAAAGUUAACUCAUAGUGCACUUUAGCUGAAGGUCUGGCUGAACCCCUCUUAAGUCUGUUAUUUAUUAUUAUUAUUAUUAUUAUUAUUAUUAUUAUUAUUAUUAUUAUUUUGGUUAUCAAGAAAAUUGAGAUCUGCUAUCCAAAAUUGAUUGUCCAACGUAGAGUGCUUAAAAAAAAUGAGAUUUCGGUUUGCAAAAAUCCUUCAUUGCUAAUUUAUUUGAGCAAGCAUUUCAGUGAUUAGUAUCACUUGAGAUAAGACAACUGACUCAACUUAUAUUUAGAAUAAGAGAAUCUUGUUAAAUAUAUAUGGUUGAAGGAUUUAAACUCCAGUAUCAGUAUUUGUUGUCUGUUAUAUUAGUAAAGUACAUCUAUGAUUUGAUCACAAAAUAUAAAAGGCAUUAAAAGAAGAAGCUUGACGAGUAAAAAUAAUUAAAAGAGCAAAAAACUGUCAUUUUAGCCCAUUUCUACUUUUUAAAUGGAUAAUUAUAUUCACAGCUUAACAUAACUUGUACAAGAACAAGUUUUUGCUCUUAAGUCUACCACAUUUUGAAUUCCAGCUUUCCAUUUUUCUCCAGAGUCUUCAUAAUUCUUCAUCCAACUUCAUUGUUCCAUUGUUCACAACAUCCGCUUUAACUACGAUCAUUGUCAUCAAAAACACCCUAAUUUGUUUGAUAAUACAUUUACAAUCGAAAGUGAACAGUGUCAAUUAAGGUCAACAUGCUGAGUCUAGGUACCAGAAAAAUUCAGACAAGUGGUAGGCAAAAUUAUGCAAGCGGAAGUGUAAAGAAGAAUAACACAGGAUCACUAAAAGAAAUUUGCUAGAUAAAUAGGGCUGACAGGCCCCGGUCCCGCCAUGGGUGGGGUUCGGUCAGGGGGCCCGUCAGGCCCUCUGUUUUUCUAGCAAGUCUCUUACUAAAAUGUUAUUUUCGUACAAAUAAGCAAUUGAAAAGAUAUUUAAAGAACAAUCUUCAAGGAUUUAAUUAAGCAAUUGAAAAGAUAUUUAAAGAACAAUCUUCAAGGAUUUAAUUAUAUUACUCAAACAACCGUAACCACACACCCAUGUCCUAUGUUAUACAAACAAAAAUAAAAAUAAACUCAAAAACUGAGAAUAUCCAAGCUCAACAAUGAUAGCUCAGCAUCUCAUUUCAACUAUGUGUCAACUGCAGAUUGGCUUUCAAUCUGCAAACAAAAAGCAACAACAAAAUAUGGAUAAUCUCUUAAAUCCACUCUUCAAUUUCAUUUUCUUAGAAAUGGAAAUCUGUUGGGAUUAUUGGCCCCAGAUUUGAUUUUACCUCAAUGAUCUUUUAUUUUCAGCCACUCAAUCAAACCAAAAACAUCUAUCAUUCUGCAAAAAUCACAGCAUCUCAAACAGUAAAUAAAAUGCAGAAAAUGUAAAGAAUAAGAACACCAAAAAAUGGUCACCUAGUUCACCCAAAUAAGGGCUAAUCUGGGGGGCUCGGGAUCAGCCCAAUCCACUAUGUAAAACCAGCCUUCCAAAGAGAUCAAUGUACAAAGGAACCAAUCUGACUUUCUCUUAAGGUUCUAAUCAUAGAUCACACAAAGAUCUCAAGAACCAGAUAUAAGAAUCAACCCUAAACUUGACAAGAACUAACACAGCUAAACUAGUGCACCACGCUAAAAAAUAACAGAUUGAAACCUUUAUUUCAAGUCUACAACACAAUGGUUAUACAAUUCUUUAACCUCUCCAAUAAUCACAGUGAAACAUAAUGGAAAUUGGAAGAAUUUCACACAGAGAGAGAGAGAGAGAGAGAGAGAGAGAGCCACCUUUUAAAAAUCUCCGGAAAGAAUGAGAACUCUCUUGCCACUAAAAAUAGGUAGCACAAGAGUCAUAAAAACCAUAUGUAAUCAAGAUUAAAUCCUAGCCACACAUUAUGAUCCAAAGCCUCACAAUGGAGUUGAAGAAGCACAAUCCUCAUUUUAGUAAAACAACUAAUUGGUGGUUGCCAUGUGGCCCUCCGAACCAAUUAAAAAAGACAAAGUAGCACUUCUUUUAAAUAACUCCAAAGUUUCCAAUUUAAUGAAACACGCCUUUUACACUUUCAAUCUUCACCUUGUUUCACUAAAUACACCGACUCUCUUAGUUGCAUGGUUUACAUAGUAAGACUGAUCAUCAUCAUUGCCCGGUACCUACAAAAGAAUUAUCCAUUAUCAAUAAACGGAAUUGAUAAACCAAAAUUUAAACAUACUAGUUGAAAGCAUUUUAAGUCUCAUAUCAAAUGGACAUACAUCAACUUGAGUUUUCUCAAGAUUUAACUUCAUCUGAAGCUAUCUUAUCCUUUUAGAAGAUGAUACUUCGCCUUAACAUAUGUUUACCUCUCAUAAUGAGCAAAAUUUAUAAGACUAACAAUGAGAUUAAUGCAAGUAUCAUGCAGAAAAUUCAAAUUACACAAAAUCCCUUUCAACCAAAUCCAUUCUUUCACAAUUUUCAGAUUUAUGUAGUCAUUUUCCAGUGUAAAGAAGUAGGUAAUAAUGGAUUUCAUGUGAUCUUUGCCACGCACAAAGUCAACAUCCACACAUCCUUUAAGGAUCAACCUAUCAAGCAUUUUCAAUUUACGAACAAUGUCAUUCUUCACCUCAAAGCCUAGUAGUUGACUCUUAUGGAUAUUUUCCCUCAAUUCCCAAUGUAGGAAAGCAGUUUUAACAUCUAGUGGUUCAAAUUCACAAUUGAAUUGAAUCUUACUAUUUUAUAUUCAAUGACAAGGAAAAAUAUCUCAAUAUAGUCAAACCCCUCUUUCAGUUUGUAAAUCCACUUACAUUGUACCGUUCUUUGACCAUUAGGCAAAUUAACCAAACUCCUCUAGCCCUAACCAAUUUGUAAUGCUGGAUAGAAUUCUCUUCAAUUAUUGGGGUGUUAGUUUCUUUUUCAUUUUCACCAUGAGGUACAUCAACCUCAUCAAUUACAGGCUCAUUCUCAUCGGAAUGAGUGAAGUCAUAUUUUGCCAACUUCACCUCAUUCUGAAAUUUCUUGUGAGAUUCAAUUUCCUGAGAAUCAUCAUGUUUUCUGAAUUUUAAACAAGGCAUUUAAGAUUCAUUAAACAUAACAUCUUUGCUGUUAAUGAUCUUAAUAUCAAGUUCCCCUAAAAUCCACAACCUAUAACCUUUAAUCCCCUUAGGAUAGCCUAGCAUAACACGUCUAAUAUCCCUAGGCACCAACUUGCCCUCAGUUUGGCGUGUAUAUGCCAUAUACACAAACACUCUAAUAUGUGCUAAAUUUGGUAGCUUCCCUGUCCAUAGUUCUUGAGGAGUCUUAAACUCGACAUAACUAGAUAGAUAUCUAUUAAUCAAAUAUGCUGCUUUGCAUAAUGCCUCAGCCCAAAACCCUUUAGCAAGUCUUGAACUGACUAACAUGCACCUAGCCUUAUUCAUCAAAGUCUUAUUGAUUCUUUUCGCUACCCCAUCGUGUUGAAGUGUGUACUUAACCGUCCUUUGUCUCAUGAUUCCCUUUUGCUUACAAAAGUUAUCAAAUUCCGCGUUAAAAACUCUAUACCAUUAUCCGUUCUUAGAGUUUUUAACCUUUUAUCCAAUUGAUUUUCCACAAUUUUAAGCCAAGUCCGAAAUUUAUGAAAAGUCUCAAAUUUAGCCUUUAAGGGGAUAAACCCAUACUUUUUUAGAGUAAUCAUCUACUAAGGAUAGAAAGUACUUAUUUCCACCAAAGCUGGGAUGCUCUUCAGGCCCCCACAAAUCUGCAUGGAUAUAAUCCAAAUGUCUUUUCGCUAUAUGUGAACCCACCUCAAAACACACCCUGUGAGACUUUCCCAACAAACAAGUCUCAUAAAAAUAUAAAGGUUUAAUAAGACCUUUAUCAUGUAACUUUUGGUCACUCAAAAUGUUUCAAACAUUUAUUUCCUAUAUGCCCCAUUCUUUUGUGCCACAAUUUAGAUUUUUCAUCAGUAACAAUAAGGUGAUUAGCUUCUUGUGAAGUAAUUGCCUCACCCAUUAGGUAGUACAACCCAUUUUUCUUAGGUCCCAGAUUUGAUUUUACCUCAAUGAUCUUAUAUUUUCAGUCACUCAGUCAAACCAAAAACAUCUAUCAUUCGGCAAAAAUCACACAUCUCAAAUAGUAAAUAAAAUGAAGAAAAUGUAAAGAAUAAUAACACCAAAAAUGGUCACCCAGUUCACCCAAAUAAGGGCUAAUCUGGGGGGCUCACGAUCAGCCCAAUCCACUAUGUAAAACUAGCCUUCCAAAGAGAACAAUGUACAAAGGAACCAAUCUGACUUUCUCUUAAGGUUCUAAUCAUAGAUCACACAAAGAUCUCAAGAACCAGAUACAAGAAUCAACUCUAAACUUGACAAGAACUAACACAGCUAAACUAGUGCACCACGGUCAAAAAUAACAGACCGAAACCUUUCUUUCAAGUCUAUAACACAAGGGUUAUACAAUUCUUUAACCUCUCCAAUAAUCAUAGCGAAACAUAAUAGAAAUUGGAAGAAUUUCAGAGAGACAGAGAGAGAGCCACUUUUUAAAGAUGUACAGAAAGAAUGAGAACUCUCUUGCCACUAAAAACGGGUAGCACAAGAGUCAUAAAAAUCAUGUGUAUUCCUCACAUAUUAUGAUCCAAUGCUUCACAAUGGAGUUGAAGAAGCACAAUCCUCAUUUUAGUCAAAUAACCAAUUGGUGGUUGCCAUGUGGCCCACCAAACCAAUUAAAAAAGACAAAGUAGCACUUCUUUUAAAUAACUCCAGAGUUUCCAAUUCAGUGAAACAUGCCUUUUACACUUUCACAAUCCAUUUCCUAUUCUAAACCAAAAUUUCUCUAUGCAGAAAGAACAAUCAAUUCUGUUACUUUCUUCUACAUAUAAUAAAUAGCGUACAUAGCUUCAGUAUCGUUCAUGGGAAUAACUCAAUCCUCAGACAAGAAUUUGACUCGUAGUUUCGGUAGCAAUUUUGAUGCAUUCAAAUUUCGUGGCAAACAUUUUUUCACUUAACUUUCCAGCUUCUAGUCCUCGUAUGACAGCUCACUGCAUGUCCACUGCCACGGGUAAUUUUAUUAUCAUUUUUAAUUACGAGGAAAUUACAUGGAUAUAUUGUAGGAAAUUCAGUGUAUGUGGAUAAAACCAGUAGCUUCCGAGCACCGCAAAAACCACUCCGGCGAACUGAACUAGUGCCUGAACUACACAACCACCAAGAGAGAACUCUAUGCAAAUGAAUUUCUAGUGUAUUCUAUAUUGAAAGCUUUUCCUUUUUUUUUUUUUUUUUUUGUGUGUUGAAAUGAGGAAAAUGAGCCACUAUUUAUAGGCUAGGCUACCAUUAAUGGCAAUGACCUUUGGAGUUCCUCAUCUUUUUCCUAUGUGGGACAAAUUCAUUUUUCCCAUCUAAACUCCCUUUUGAGUGGCACACUUUGAGCCUCAAUUUCUCAUUCACCCGAGCAUCAACUUUGGCAAGUAAGUAUAUGAUUUCGAUGUACUCACGGAGGAGAACACAAAUCAACUUUCAUCUUCCAAAUUGAACAACUGGGUUCCACUCAAAACUCGUGCCAAAGUCGGCCAAUUUUUCCAAUAGAUAUCACUUUUAGUGAGAAAAAGAUACAAUUUUCUGUUCCAAAGUGUUCAUUUUACAAGAAUAUUGAACCAUCCAGGCAUUCUGAACAAGUUGUUAAUUUUCUAGGAGAGACUUGAAAAUUUUCAAGAACAUUUUCCAACUUAAUUUAUGAAUAUUUGGAAUAAAAUGGUAAAUCUUAGUGAUUCUGUUAAUCUUUUCCAGCUAUGUUAAAUGACAUUGUUGCUCAAUUUCGAGUAUAUACAGUACUGUAUUACAAGAACUUUGUUGGAUGAUUUUUGUGAAUAGUGAUGCCGAAAUAAGUAUAAUGAUGGUGACAAAGCCGAGGCAAGAGUUGGACUCUUUGUCCUUAAGUCGAAUUUGCCCCGCAACGGUGUCUACGGAUUUCGGCAAUCGACUCCCAAGAUACAACGGCUACACUUGUGUUUGUAGCACUCCAAAACACAAGUACAACGAACCAAAUUUAGGCUUAUGUACUCUAAGGAUGAAAUGAAAGAAAAUCAAAAUAAAUGAAAUGAUUUUGAUUUUGGACAGAAGAGAGGAUGAGAGACGUUUUGCAUAUCAGAUUGUGUGGAAUAGGACACCCAAAGGGUCCUAUUUAUUGACCAUGAAAGCGGCGAAUUGGCAAACAAUUUUGCUUAAACGGAUUGAGUCGAGCUUUUGAGUAUUUGGCCGAAGUCGAUACGAACUUUAAUCGAUUUUUCAAUUCUCGAUUUAUUUAACCAAUAUCCAACAAACUUAUCAUACAGCAACAUUCGUGUGGCCCUGUUUGCACUUGGUUUCGUCACUGUAUAUCAUCAACUCAUGGAUAGGUACCCAAGUGAUGAAGAUCGAGCCACUAUUCUUAAAGCUUACAUCGAACCUUUGAAUGAGGAUCCUGAUCAAUAUAGGCAUGUAUCCUCCAUUUUCCAUUUUCCCAUAUUUUGUCUCUGAAUGUAAGUGAAUUUUGAAGCAUUUGUUAUUGGAUUCAGGGGAAAAGGAAAAUAAAAUAAAAUAAAGGUUCCCGGUGAGUCAGUGCUGAAAAUAAUGAACAUGACAAGUAUUUUGGAAGUGCAGGGACAAAAUGUUCUUCUCCAGAGGGGAAAACAAAAAUUGACAGGCUCUCAUGUGCAUUUUGAUAGGGAUGUACCAAGCCACUAACUUGUAAUCAGUUGAUUGAGAAUCUCAUUAUUCUAUCUGUCAUAUCAUUUAUUUGCAGGAGAACAAAAACUACCAACGUGUAUUUUUUACUGGUUCAAGUUGUAUCAGUUAUGGUCUUUUUGUGGAUGCGCGUAUUAAGGGUUCGAGUACUACAUUUCAGGCUGAUGCACAAAAAAUGGAAGAAUGGGCUCGUGCACAAAAUGCCAGUACCAUAGUUGAUUUUGCAUCCAGGGAAGGAGAGAUUGAUGGCAUUUUGAAGGACAUUGCAGAAAGAACUUAGACCAAGGGAAGUUUCAGCUAUAGUCGGCUCUUUGCAUUCGAUCUCUUUCGCCUGCUCGAGCCAGCAAAUGCAACCAAGCCUAAUAUUUUUAGGGAAGGUAAAGGUUUGGCAGUUUUAUUAGAAUUUCCAUAUUCUAAAGCCUGAUAUGGAGAAUAUAUUGUUUUCAGGUUUUGUUUUGAUUCUAUCUUUGAAAAGAAUGUUAAAAUAGCCAUUCUAUUAGUCAGGUGUUUGAUGAGUCUCUCCCUUUGCUUAUCACAAAUCACUAUACAUUUGUUAGAUUAUUGAUUAUAAGAUAUGGUUAAUGAUUAUUUUCUAGAUUAUAAAUAUUUUAUUUUCACUUUUCCUUUCAUCUGUCAUGGAUUAUGAGUAUUUUGUUACUGCUGAAUACAUGUUCUCACUGGCUUAUUUCUUUCUUCGUGUGACUGCUUUGUGUUUCACUACAUGUAGUAAGAAAAGCGUUGAUCGUGAUCUUGAUUGGUUCAAGCAAAAGAGCUGUUAAAAGAAUAUGUUGACAGGUUAUAAUUUCCUCCUAAGUCCAUAAUCACUUAAAAUGUUCCAUAUAACAAUUCAGAGAAUCCUUUCAAUGUUAGGGAGAAAAAGAAAAGGGAAGAAACGGGUAGAAUCUCAGAAUGCAAAAGAAACCAUUACAUGAUACUCUGGACAAUACCAAUACGCUGGGCAGUAAUGCAAAAUUUAUCCGUUACCAAUUAGUAAAUAUCCUCGGAGGAACAAACUAGUAAGCCAAUCAUAGCUUUACCAUAGAUGACAAAUAUUAGAAUUUGGUUGUGAUCCGAAUUCUUUGUUAAAUAUAAUUGAGAGUUCUAACUAAAUCACACAUUAGGGAAAAUGCUAUUUGGAAUACUAUUAUGAAAUCCUGUUCAAAUUUACUAGGCAAAUUCUGAUUGAAGUUCUCUUUGGAAGUUCAUUGGGAGUAGGAAUUUGUGUUGGACUUGAAGAGGAUAUUGGGACGAAGAAAAUCAAGAUUUUGGAGUAAAGGACCCAAAAGUGGGCGUCGUGGCACCAAUGUUGCGACGUCACAGCACCAGGCCUGUGGUGCCGUAGCACCACUAGUCUGUUUCGGCUCUUGCACAAUUUUUCCUCCUCUACUCCACUUUGCACUUUGUUUCUUACAUUCUACUUCAACUACAACUUUACUAUGAGGGUUUGGACAUCCUCUAUAUAUAGUUAGCUCUUCAUUAUGAUUUAGAAAGGAUUUAAAAACACGUAAAUAUAUAAUCUUUGAAUUCGUUUUCCAUAUUAUAAUAAAAUCUUCAUUCUCUGCAAAAUUUCAUUGUUCUUGUGAUCAAUUACUUCAUAUUAUGGCUUAAUCUCUUAUUUUUCCCAACAAAGUGCAUUGGAUUAAUCCCGUAUCAUUUUUGUUCCUUGUAUCUUUUAUGUUCAUUGUUUUGCUCAUCAACUGCAAUUAGCUUUUGUAGCUGUGGCAAAGAAGAAUAUAUUGAUUACUAUUUUCUUUCGUGUGGUUGCUAAUGUGGUAAAUAAGGUUGGAGCAUCUUCUAAAUGUUGUGAUCUUCUUCGAGAGAAAUUCAUUAUUGAGGCAUUGGAGAACGGUGAUAUUUUUUAGUGGACAGGAACUUAAUCAAGAAACCACUCUUCAGCGCGCAGGUGAUACGCAAUGGGGAUCCCAUUAUAAUUUUAUGGUCAGCUUGAUUAACAUGUUUGCGGCUGUUAUUGAUGUACUUGAAAUAAUUGUUGAAGAUGGAUCUAGUACUCGUGACAAAAAAAGUGAGUCGUUCAAUUUAUUUGAGUUAAUAGAAUCGUUUGAUUUUGCAUUUAAUCUACAUUUAAUAAGAAGUGUUUUGGGAAUUUCAAAGGCAUUGCGAAACAAAGAUCAAGACAUUGUCCACGCAAUGGACAUGGUGAAAGUUUACAAAAAACAACUACAACUUAUGAGAGAUGAUGGAUGGAAUUCUUUCUUGCAACAAGUUGUCUCUUUUUGUAAGAAUCAUUGUAUUGAUGUUCCAAACAUGGAUGCUAUGUGUAACACUCCAAAUUUUUAUAAAUGUUGGGAGUGUUACGGAAAACUCAAUUUUCUCUUUUAUAAUUGUGGAACAUCUCAAAUAAAAGGAAUUCUUUAUUUUCAACCAUACAUAUCAAUUUAAAUGCAAGAUCUGAGUUUCUAAAAAUUUAAAUAUAAUCAAUGGACUAAUUAAACAAAUGAGUCUUUGAAUAAAUAAACUAAUAAUUAAUUGAGAGACAUAAAAAAAAAAAAAAAAACUUCGAUUCACUUGGCUGUCCGCAUCACCAUCUCGCCACCAUUUCCAAUUGACCCAAACUAACCUGUAAAAAUUUGUAAGAGCGAAUAUUAAAAUAAACAGUAAGAUUCAUACAGUUUCCAUACCAAUUAUAUAACAAAUAAAAUCUAUACUUCAUAUCACUAUGCUUUUAUGGAGUAUAUCGGCGAUCAAGCAACACACCCAUCUUAAGUCAUUUUAUAACCGCAUAGAAUUUCAUCUAUCUCUUUUUAAAGAACCCAAAGGUUUACAGACAAUCCAUGCAUAUUUAAUUGAAUAUAAAAUUAUAAGGAAACGAAAACACUUGCGCAAAAGUAUCUUACCUUGCUAAAUAAAAUAAAGUAUAAUUGCUUGUGUUCAAAUUGUUUUCUCAACUUAUCUGCUUCGGUGUAAGUGUAUUGAUUGACAAUAAUGCAUGCAAACUUUUAGAUUUCCAACACUAUUCUCUCUCCCUCUCUCUACCAUAAGUGAAUAUUUGGAUUUGUGUAUGUAAAACUCUUCCAUCACACCUAUACAUAGGUGUAGGCUACAGUAAUUGAUAAACCAAAAAAAUUUAUUUGAUAGAGUCAAAUCCAAGGUGGUGUGUAUCAUAAAAUAAAUAUUGUACUUUAUCAUUGUUUUAUUCAAUCUAGAAGAACUACCAUCCCUUUCCAAUAUCGAUAUACUUCAUCUCUUUUUAUCAAAAUCUAAUUAUUUGACUCUAGAUAAGAUAGGAAUUUAAAAUAUAUAUCAUUUGUCCAUUUUUCUUUUUUAAGUAUAACGAUAAAUUUAUAUAUAUAUAUAUAUAUAUAUAUAUAUAUAUAUUUCGUGUGUUACAAUCUCCCUCCUUAAAAGAAUUUCGUCCUCGAAAUUACCUGAGUUCGGGUAUUUUGUUGUCCGUUCCUGAGCUAAAACAAAAACUCAGGCAUUUUCCUUCUUUUCUUGCUCAUCAUUCUUCUUCAAGGGGUCUUCUUUGCAAUUUUUUGAAAUGUGACAUGUUUUGCCACAUCGAUAGCACACAUAUUUCCUAAACAGACAUUCACCACCAUGCAUCCUAUUGCACUUUAGACAGGGUGAGCGGACUCGUUCAAAGCUUGAUCUAAAGUUGACUUUCUUAUUCUGUCAUUUUCCUUUUUCUUCGUUGGACCCAUUCCAUUUCCUCUUUCCUAAAGGCUUGGCCCCUUACUAAGGAGAUUGAUCAAUCUCCAACCUAUUUGAGAUUGCUUGGGCAGUAUGCAAUACAAGGCUAUAGGUGGUGAAUUGGUGGGAUGUCAUUAUUCCAUCAAUCUCAGGGCGUAAUCCUAACUCAAACCUCCUUGCUUUCUUUGUUUCUAUGUCCACUAGGUGUAGCACGUACCUAGAGAGUUGUUCAAACUUUCUCUCAUAACCUUCAAGCUUCAUCUUUCCCUAUUUAAAUUGAAAGAAUUAUGUCUCUUUUCGAUCUCUCAGAGCUUGUGGGAAGUAUUUAGCCAUCACCUCGCCUUAAAUUGUGUACAAGUCAGAGCAAGUUGUUGUGCCUCCGUUCUGGUGCGCGAUGCUGGCUCCCACCAGUGGCUUGCAUCAUCGACUAACAUGAAUACUGCGUAUAAUACCUUUGGAGUAUCAGUGUAAGAUAGAUGUUUGAAGAUUCACUCCAUUCCUCAGCCAUCAGUGGGUGUGCCUUGCCAUCGAAGGUUGGAGGUUUAUAGCGACGAAACUACUCCACAAUUGAGCUGGCAUUGUUAAUGUUUACGUUUUGGGAACCAGCUUGAGCUUGUUGUCUACCCUGAUCUUGUACAGCCUUCGAGAAAUCUCUAAUGACUGUAACUUGGUUUUGUUGUUGUCUUGCCAUUUUCUUAACACGAAUAAAAUUUUAUAUAAUUUAGAAAUAUUUGAUAACACAAAAUAAACAUAAUAAUAAUAAUUUUUAUAAUGGCGAAAAACUUAAAAAUUUCCAAAUCUUUACAUAUAGUAUUUUAUUUAAAAAAUAAUACCAAAUAAGACAAAAAAAAUAAACUGUUCCUAAGUAAGCAAAUAACAUCUAUUUCUAAUUUUUAUGAGUCCUAAGAAUCUUAUUUUGGUGGAGUCUCAUCGUCUGAAGUAAUCAUGACUUUGGCUCAGAAUCUGUGACCAAAUCAAUGAAAUUUUAUGGUUCGAAUUCUUGCUCAAGUUCUUCUGGCUCUAGUUCAAUUUCCUCUUCUGGGUCAUCGUCAAGCUCUUCCUCUGGGUUCUCAUCAGGCUCUUCCUCUAGCUCUGGUUCAGGCUCGGGCUCGGGCUCGGGCUCGGGCUCGGGCUUGAGCUCUGGCUCUGGCACUACUUUUGUUGUCUGUGAUUCCUUAGGAUUAUGAUAUUUUGACAAUAUCCUUUAAAAUCGAUCAUAUCCCAUUCUUUUUGUGAAUACAUCCCAUAAUUCAAAUCUCUCAUGACGUAAGCCACGUCUCUCCAUUGGGGUCGCAUAGUACUUAUGAAAUGGUAUAUCGAGACGAUUGUCCCCUCAUUAUAUCCGAAUGAUUUUGCUUGCUCCCACUUAGAAAGGAAAUCCUCAACAUGUUCGUAAAAGUCCGCUCCCAUUUUACUUCAUAAUUUACGUACUUUUCGGUAGCAAUUUGAUCACGCUGUAGGGAUGUUGGGCUAUUUCCAAUCAUCCUAGUUAUUUUUCAAAUCCUAAUCAUGUGACCAACAUAAUUUUAAUUAUGCUAAACAAUAUUCAAAAAUUCUUAUACAGUUUAGAUCUUUUUGACAAAGCCUUUCAAUUUUGCAAUUACGCAAAUCAACAAAACUCAAACAACAAGUCAAACAUGAAAUCUCUUAAAAUGUAAAUUUUCAAAUUGGUGCAUGUUUAAAACAUCACCACUGGCUAAAGUUAAACACAUAAAAAUUUAUCAAAUGUGAAACUUAAAUUAUGGACAUUAAACCAUAACAAUUUAUAUUUUAAACUACUAUUUUUCAAAAUCAAUUUAAACAAACAAUUAUUCUUCAAAAUAAAAGAAACGAUUUUUUUUUUUAAAAAACAUCUUUUCUUUUUGUCAUUGUUCACGUGAAUUUUUUUUGAAAAAACAAAAGUCUACAGGAAAGUAAAAUCAUGCUCUGAUACCAUACUGUAACGCUCCAAAUUUUUAUAAAUGUUGGAGUAUUACGAAAAACUUAAUUUUCUCUUUUAUAAUUGUCGAACGUCUCAAAUAGAAGGAAUUCUUUAUUUUCAAAUAUAAAUAUCAAUUUAAACGCAAGAUCUGAGAGUUUCUAAAAAUUUAAGAAUUUUGCUCAUGUAAGAGGGAGGCGGCAGGAGCCCCACAAAUGGGCUAGGGUCCGCAAAAAAAGCAUGGGACCUCCCCCUAUUUGUGGGGUUCGGUCAUGGGGGCGAUUAGCCCCUCUGUUGCUAUAACAUGGCCUAAAAUUUAAACACAAUCAGUGGACUAAUUAAACAAAUGAGUUUUUGAAUAAAUAAAACUAAUAAUUAAAUUUAGAGACAUAAAAAAAUAAACUAAAUGUUUAAUUUCUUUUUUCUUUCUUAGAUUCACUUGACAGUUCACAUCACCAUCCCGCCACCAUUCCCUUUCGACUUGAACUAACCUAUAAAAAUUUGUAAGAAUGAGCAUUCGAAAAACAACCAGUAAGAUACAUGUAAUUUUCAUGCAUAAUUAUAUAACAAAUAAAAUCUACACUUCAUACCACUCUGCUUUUAUGGAAUAUAUUGGUGACCAAGCGAUACACCUAUUUUAAGUCAUCUUACAACCUCGUAGGAUUUCAUCUAUCUCUUUUUAAAGAACCCGAAGGUCCAUAGGCAAUCCAUGCAUAUUUAAUUGAAUAUAAUAUUAUAAGGAAACGAAAACACUUGCACAAAAGUAUCUUAUCUUGCUAUAUAAAAUAAAAUAUAAUUGCUUGUGCCCAAAUUCUUUUCUCAACCUCUCUGCUUCGGUGAAAGUGUAUUGAUUGACAAUAAUGUAUACAAACUUUUAGAUUUCCAACACUACUCUCUCUCUCUACCGUAAGUGAAUAUUUGGAUUUGUGUAUGUAAAACCCUUCCAUCAUGCCUAUAUAUAGGUGUAGGCUAGAGCAAUUGAUAAACCAAAAAGAAUUAUUUGAUAGAGUCAAAUCCAAGGUGGCGUGUAUCAUAAAACAAAUAUUUUACUUUAUCAUUAUUUUAUUCAAUCUAAAAGAACUACUAUCCCUAUCCAAAAUCGAUAUACUUCAUCUCUUUUCAUCAAAAUCUAAUUAGAAAAAAUUUGUGUAUUACACUAUGUUUAUGCAUUAUGCAUAUGGUGGUCGCUCUCAUCGUAAUUCUCCUCAAAUGACCAACUUGCAUCACUUUUGGGUAGAUUUAUUCUAUGCUAUCAUCGAUAUGCAACUUCAAGAAUUGAAUGAUCAUUCUUUGGAGUUAAAUACUGAGUUGCUUCAUUUUGUAGUUUGUCUAUGUUCACAAAAUUCAUUCUCGGCUUUUGACAAAAGAAAGUUAAUUCAACUUGCUAAGUCUUAUCCACUAGAUUUUUGAACAAUGAAUCUCUUCACGCUGGUGGAUCAACUUGAUAAAUACAUUUUUGACAUUCCCUCUAACAAAGAGUUUGAAGAAUUGACUGACCUUAGCAUUCGCGCAUAGAAAUUAGUUUUAACAAAUAAGAGUAGAGUAUAUCCACUGGUUUAUAAGCUUUUGACUUUGGCACUAAUUCUUUCGAUCGCCACGACUACGGUGGAGAGUAUAUUUUCUGCCAUGAACAUUGUGAAGAUAGAUUACGAAAUCGGAUUGGAGAUGAGUGGAUGAAUGAUAGUCUCGUUGUUUAUGUGAAGAAAGAUAUAUUCUUAAAGAAUGAUAAUGAAGUGAUUUUACAAAGAUAUCAAAGUAUGAAAACUUGUAAUGAACAAUUGUUAGGUAUUCUAGUUUUAGUAUAAAGUUCGAGUUAUAAUGUUGUUAUUUUUGGUAUCUUUUUUAAUAUUGCACGCACCGAAAAAAACUUCUUAGGUUUGUCCUUGGCUACGUCCUUAUGAAACUCGAAUCUGAUUCAAUGUGCCUAGGUAUAAGAAGAUGAAAAUAAGAAUCAAAAUCACACAUGCUUUCUCCUGAUUUUACAAGGCUCUUGCCUAAAUGAGACCGGCUUACAUUGUUAUUGUACAGAAAUCGUUCUCAAUACUAGCUUGUAAGAGGAAGGUGUGAAAAAUAUUAUUUCGUGAAAUUCAUAUUAUAUAAUUAUUUAAAUUUUAAUUUAAUCACUCUCAAACAUGUUCAGCGGAAACUCAAAUAUUUUUGAAGGAAUAAUAUGCUUUACUAUUAUCGAAGCACUUGGGUCACGAGGCACAAGUCAAAUAAAAAGUUGAAACAAAUUAAGAAAAAUUUCACAGCAAGACCAAGAAAUUAAAGAAUGAAGAGAAUAAAGACAACAUCAGAAACUGCCAAAUUCCCAGACAGCCUUCUGUUUUCACUUUCGUCUCUCUUCAGUUUCCUUGAAUUUCUUACCUUACAUUUGGUUGUACUCCACCCUAUCCCUGACCCCCUCACCAGAGCUGAUCCUGUGUUUGAUGGGCCCUGAGGCGAAUGAUGAAAAUUAAGCCUCCUAGCGACAAAAUUCAAAGGUGUAUUAAGGAUGUUGUUUUGUUGUUGGAUAAUUAGUCUUGGACCGGAUCACCUUAUUUUAGGCUUGCUCACCUUGUUAAUUAAAAAAAAAAAAUCCAGAGGGGGCCAAAAUUAGGCCCCUAAUGGUCUUGGCCCUGAGGCAGAGGCCUAGGCCUGCCCCUCACUACUCUACUACAAGUCAGGUAAAUAAUUUAUUUAUUUUAAGUACUAAAAAUACUUAGUUUAUCAUUAAGUCUUAUUUUGUCGAUAAAUAAGUAGCUUAAUUAGUUUGAGCUUCAAUCAUAAAGGAAAGUAUUUAUUGCCUUUAAAUAUAGGUAGAUCUUGUUUAGUAAAUUUUUUGAAGAUUUUUGACUAAUCAAACUUAUUUUUGAAUAAUUUACACAAAUUUUAUAACAAUUUAUAAUCCUAGUCAAAUAUGGGCUAAACUUACCAUAAGUGCACUUUUCAAAUUGCUCUUGUUUGACUCUCUUUAAAAUUUUAAUAUAUUUUUCUCUAUAUCUUCUUUACAAUUAUACAUUUUUCAAUAAAAUAAUAUUAUAUGUAAAUAAAAAAAAAUUCUACUUUUUUAACCACACAUGCUCCCAAAAAAAUACUAUUCCAUGAUACAUUUUUCCAAAACUUCUCUUUAUAAUGGAGCUCAAACAAGAGGUUAGUAAACAUCCCAUUAAGAACCCAUAAUUCAAUAAUGUAUUGUAUUAUGUUAGUCAAAUAGGGGCAGGUGAUAUGGUUUAGGGACGGAGACUGCGUGCUAGUAGCUGAUUGAUGCUUUUUUUUAUUUUUUUUCAAACUGUCCAAUCGAUGUUUGACAUGUGUACUCCUGUUAAAAAAAACCUUACCCUAUUUGUGUAUCAUAUUUCUUCAAUAAUUACCCCAAGAUAAAUAUAUUUGGUCAAUGAGGACCCUCAAGCAUCAAAAUUGAGAUAGAUCCCUCAAACACCUUUCUCGUGCGCCCCUAUCCAUCCUAACCACUCCACUCCACUCCACUCUGCACCAAUGUCACAAUACAAGCACAUUUCUAUUUUUUUCAGGGGUAAAUUUGAUAAGAGUUCCUCCUAACCUCAUGCGGAGUUUCGAUUGAGUCACUCAACUUUAAAAAAAAAAAAAAAAGAUCAAUUAAGUAACUAAAUUUAAUAUUAUUAUAAAUCAAUUCACCAUGUUUAGAUGUUAACGUAAUCAACGGAAUCUGACCGUGUAGAUGUCAAUAUUAAAAAGAAUGCCACGUGAGGCUUAGGACAUUCACAAGUUUAUAUAGCUCGUGUUUGAUAGUCAUCUUUAGCAAGAAUGAGUUUUAAAUAGUAAAUUUUUAGAGAACAUGUGGUUAAAAAUAAAAAUAAAAAUUGAAUUUAUAUAAAGAAUAUUGUAUUAUGAGAAUAUGUGGUUAAAAAUGAGUAUUAAAAAAAGGUUUUAAAAGAAUGGUUGUUAAACAGGGGCAUAAUAUAGUUGCAUGCCCAACUUGUUGAACAUCAUCCUACCUGGCAUUCCAUAUCCUUAAAACGUCGAAUAAUUCAAUCAUAUUGGUUCUUAGCAUCAUUCUACUUUGGAUGUCUUAAAUAUGAAUCGUAUAUAUUCGUUUAAAAUGUCCAAUCAUUUAAGGAUACUUAAUGAACACCUAGAUUGGUAUUAUACACAAGUGAAGGCGUUUGCAUAAUUUUAUAAGUCUACACGAGCAAACUCUGUUAAGCAAAGCAAACUUUCUUAAAGCAAGGAAAACUCUAUAAUUACUUUCAACGACAUCAAAAGUAGUUACUUAGUUUGAAAAUAUUAAAGUUUUGUGACUUGAUUGAGACUUUUAAAAGUUGGGUAACCUCCAAUAAUUUAUUCCGUUUUGGCAUCUUCUUUCAAAGUAAUACGACUUUCUUUUGGCUUUCCUUAAUUAUUGAAAAUCCACCAUCCUUCAUUAGCUUCCACAUUAAUUAGGACGGAAGAAACAAAAAGUCCUCCAUAAACCCGAAAAGAGUCUGUUUGAAUGAAAUUCCAAUGAGAAAAGUUUCAAUUUUUUUCACACAGUUCAUGCUCCUACUUAUCAUCAUUUCAUUAUUAAACAUUAAUGGCUUGCUUUCAGUACCGGCGGAACCAAAACCGGGUGAUUAUCUCAAUAAUUCGACUACAGUCCCUGCUUUCCCGGUCCAGACGGAAACUCAGACAUGCCGGCUGGACUUGUCAGCCGAACUGUUUGGCGGCUUAAAAGCAGCCUGCGGCCACAAGCUGGACCGGAGCAGGUGCUGCCCCGUGCUGGCUGCGUGGCUCUUCGCUGCGCACGCCAGGUCGGCUCUACAGUUGACACACACCCCUCCGUCGACGAUUACCAGCGACAUGCCAAUGAUUCCUGACGACUCAGAGAAGUGCGUGGACUCGCUGCAGGACUCCUUGCAGAGCCGCAACAUCCAUAUUCCCCAGCCCAAUGCAUCUUGCGACGCCGUCUUGUGCUUCUGUGGCAUCCGGCUCCACCAGCUCACCUCCCUCGACUGUCCGGCGGCGUUUAAUAUUACUGGGAAUCACAUAAAUGCUACUCCCACUGCGGCUGUGAGGAAUUUGGAGCACAAUUGUCGGAAUUCAUCAAACGCCGGUUGUUCAAAAUGCCUUGGCUUUCUGCAAAAGGUCAGUCCUGCGAUUUCAAUUCUCCAGUUUUUAUUUGAUAACGUUUUAAGCCGAUUUCGUUGAAGUUGAAACAAAUUUUAUUACUAUCUACAAGUUUUUAUUUUAUUUUAAAAUAUGCUUCAAUUACAAUCAAGUAAUUUUUAUUAGUAUUAAAAUUGUAUUUAUUAUUAACAAGGGCCAAUGGAAACAUAGAAAUUUGUUUCUCUCGAUUUAUGAAAAGUCUAAUUGACCCCUGUUCAAUUAUUAUAUUGCAGUUGAAAGUCGAGGGCGAAAGUGGAAGAAAAGAAGUUGAGCACAAAAAUGAUGACCGAGCAAGCAAGAUGCUGAGCCGAGACUGCCAGCUCAUGGGAUUGGCUUGGCUACUAGCCAGGAAUAAGACGGCAUAUAUACCCACGGUCUCCGCUGUAUUACGAGCCAUCUUGUAUAGCGCGAACCCCUCAGAGGAGUCGAGGUGCAGUCUCGAUCAGGAAAAUAUGCCAUUGGCUGUCGAUUCCCUACAGUUGGAAAAAUACGAUUCCUCGUCCUCAUCCUCGUCAUUGUGGCUUUCGCAAUUUCUUCCAUUUUUUAUUCUUAUUCUGCCCUUAAUAUUCUUGGUUAUCUUCGUUUAGGGGAAUAAUUUGUUUAAGAAUUUUGGAUUUGUUUGUUGUUCAUGUCAUGUGGCUCCCCGGCUCUUUUGUGCCUGUGAUUUUUUUAUGUAGGGGUAUCACGUGAAGCUAAUCGACGAAUGGGGAAUAAGGUUAUAUUUUGUCUUUCUAACAGUAAAUUUCACUUUUGAGACACGGUAAAUCCCAUAGGACAAAUUUCUAGGGUAUAUUAUUGUGGAACUCCAACCUAUCGUAAGUGUUGUAUAUCACAGUUCAAUUUUAUCUAACAAAAAAUGUUUAUUUCAACACUUAAUGCCACAUGAUGUUGAUGAAUGUUUCAUGAACACCGGAAAAUUUUACCGUAUUCGAAUUCUGAACGAAAGUUAAAGUCAUCAUUUACGGGGUAUUCUUAAUUAAAAUUUUAAUGAAUUUUAAAGAAUUAUAAAUUCUAAUGAAUUUUGUGGAUUUGAAUAGAUUUUUACAAAUUCCAUAAAAAUCUCACCAAAUAUGGUAUAUUUCAAAAUAUUUGCUUGUAUAUUUUUUAAGCUUGAAAUCCAUUCAAAUCUUUUAAAAUCCUUCUAUUAAUGAAAAUUUUAUAAAUCCGCUAAUUAUUGAGGAUGCCUAACUUUUAAAGGAUUUUAUUAAAAUUUCAAUUAAAGACAUCAAAAUUUAGAAUGACUUUUAAAAUCCAUGACAGUCUUAAUUGAGGACCCCCUAAUUAAUUUUGAACAACUUUAUACCAUUUACUCCAAUUUUACAUUUUAUUAUUAAAUAGAAGCUAUAUGAUUUGUUUUCUAAUAAAUUUUUUUUUCUUUUAAUUUUUUUCCCUCUCCAUGUGACUAACUAUAAUAAGGUGUUCUAGUGGGUCUUGUGGAAAUGAUGACCUCAAUAUUAUACUGAAAAAAGAAAUUUACUAAUCAAACAGGGGCAUGUGACAAGCUCCACUGGGCCUUUGAUAUGAAAUUAAAUUUCAAAUCCACCUCAGCCCUGUGGCUUGGGACAAGCCCUUGUUUAUGUAGCAUGUCUCAUGAAAAAAAUUAAUGUUCAGCCUGUAUUGUGCAUAACGAUGAAAUAAUAAUAAUAUUAGUAGUAGUAGUAGUAGUAGAAGGAAAAAGAGUAACUUUUUGGAAUCAUCAAAACUUGAGGAAAAUGUAACUCGAGUAUGUUGGUCGUAGGAAUUAAAAUCAUCGGUUUUAGUGUUAUUCUUUUCAGACGACAUAUGGCUAGGUUUAAAACCACUAAUUAUGUAAUAAUUAAAGUUCAUCAAUUUUCACGACUAAACAAUUUAAAGGUUUACACUUUUUUUUUAGCAUAGAAUCACGACUUUACGUUUGUCUUUCACUCUCGUCACCUCCCGCUUCUACUUAUGUUUCAAUUAUUAAAACAAUACCUCAAUUUGAAAGUUCAUUAGUAUUUUUAUUAUUUCCUGCAAUUUUAGAUUACUUGCUCUGUUUUUACUGUAAUUAAUAAAAUUAUUUUAAUAUGCAAUAUUUUGGCUAACAAUAUACCCCAAAAUAAGCAUACACCUCACAUUGCUACCUUGGUUGUGACCAAAACAAAUUCCACUCCUUCAGAUUCUCCAACCACUCAAGUUGCUUAAUUUGCCCGAAAACAUCCAUUAUUAAUCGAGAUAUAAUCGAAGGAUUGCCUAACGAAAUGGAAUGAAUAAAAUGGGUGAAAGGGCCUCUCGGAGCAUAGCCCAAUGGUAAAAGGACAUGAGUGAUGUUAUCUCAGGCCUUGCUGGUAGCUGUAGUGUGGGGGUUUGAUUCGUGAGACAUGGAAUUGGACUCUUCGUAGGUGCAGUGUACAGGCAGCUCUUGUUCUCUGGCCUAUUGAGGCACAUCCCGUGAUUUACCUCCCUUACAAAGCUCUAGGGACGGGGCAGUGGGGGCUCUCAAGGUUGGGGUUCAACCUUUUUUUUUUUUUUAAAUAAAAUGGGUGGAAGUAAUUUUGCCCAUGCGUGAAUAUGGGCCUUUUUGUCAUGAGUACGCAUGGCUUGUUUAUGCAAAAACUGAGGCUAAAAAUGCUUCUACCAUGCGUACGCAUGGAUUAUAUUAUGCGUACUCAUAGGGUUAAAAACUAGUCGUGAGGAACAGGGAUAUCCUCAGGAGGGGGUUGGUUUGGAACGGAUGAGCUUGCUGGUGGAAGACCUGAACGUGUGUUUACCAUGACUUUUGGUAGCGCCUUCCCACAGACGGCGCCAAUGAUGCUACCAAAAAUCGUACCUGCUGAUUUUCCGAGCUUGAUGAUUGGUGAGGAGCACGAACGUGAUCUUCCGAUACCUGAAACAAAGGCAACGAGGUGUGUUCUCGUCGCCCCUCCGAUGCUUAAGUCAGAAAGGGAAAUAUAUGCGUGAGGCUAUGUGCUGAAGAACAAUGUAAAACGUACCUGAAUAAUGGUUCAAAGUUCUGUAUUUAUAGUAGUAAGUGACAUUCUCCUAAUUGGGCUCAACUAGCUGGAUGUCCUCAUCUGUUGGAGUCCUGCUGGUUAAGGAGUUGGUUGAAUUCCAGAAUUAUGCGUGAGAUAGGACUCUUGUGGGAGUUAAGAUUCCUAAUUGCGUAGGAAUUCUAAAGGAUGAACAAUCGUCAGCAGUAAGGAGGAGCAUAUUCCCGAGGACCAUGCCCGAGGACACAUCUUUGCAAUAUGCGAAGCGUGAUGGAGAUGUGGUCGGGCCUUGUGUCUCGAGGACGAACAUGCUCGAGGACACCAUGGAUGGAUUUACAACUUUACCAAAAUUAGUCAUCGGGAUAUACUGAUCGGGGAUAUCGUAAAAUGUCACCAUCAC